rnacentral:rRNA from 1 species
CCGGCGCACGGGUGAGUAACGCGUAUGCAACUUACCUAUCAGGAGGGGAUAACCCGGCGAAAGUCGGACUAAUACCGCAUAAAGCAGGGAUCCCGCAUGAGAAUAUUUGCUAAAGAUUCAUCGCUGAUAGAUAGGCAUGCGUUCCAUUAGGCAGUUGGCGGGGUAACGGCCCACCAAACCGACGAUGGAUAGGGGUUCUGAGAGGAAGGUCCCCCACAUUGGUACUGAGACACGGACCAA